UACGGGGGGGGCAAGCGUUGUUCGGAAUUACUGGGCGUAAAGGGCUCGUAGGUGGCCAACUAAGUCAGACGUGAAAUCCCUCGGCUUAACCGGGGAACUGCGUCUGAUACUGGAUGGCUUGAGUUCGGGAGAGGGAUGCGGAAUUCCAGGUGUAGCGGUGAAAUGCGUAGAUAUCUGGAGGAACACCGGUGGCGAAGGCGGCAUCCUGGACCGGUUCUGACGCUGAUGCGCGAAAGCGUGGGUAGCAAACAGG
rnacentral:rRNA from 1 species